rnacentral:rRNA from 1 species
CACGUAGGUAACCUACCUUAAGGACGAGGAGUAACCUUUGGAACGAAGGAUAAUACUGGAUAGGACAUUAUAAAGCACGAUGCUUAAAUGUUUAAAGGAGCAAUCCACCAUAGAGGGGCCUGCGGCGCAUUUAGCUAGUUGGUGAGGUAAGGGCCCACCAAGGCGAUGAUGCGUAGCUGGACUGAGAGGUUGAACAGCCACAAUGGGACUGAGAACGGCCCAUACUCCUACGGGAGGCAGCAGUAGGGAAUUUUCGGCAAUGGGCAAAAGCCUGACCGAAGCAAUGCCGCGUGAACGAAGAAGUAUUUCGGUAUGUAAAGUUCUUUUAUCAGGGAAGAAAAACAAAUUGACUGAACCUGAUGAAUAAGCUCCGGCUAACUACGUGCCAGCAGCCGC